UCGCACGAAGGUUUCGGCCUUAGUGGCGGACGGGUGAGUAACGCGUAGGUAUCUAUCCAUGGGUGGGGGAUAACGGCGGGAAACUGCUGCUAAUACCGCAUGACACCUGAGGGUCAAAGGCGCAAGUCGCCUGUGGAGGAGCCUGCGUACGAUUAGCUUGUUGGUGGGGUAACUGCCUACCAAGGCUACGAUCGUUAGCUGGUCUGAGAGGAUGAUCAGCCACAUUGGGACUGAGACACGGCCCAAACUCCUACG
rnacentral:rRNA from 1 species